UACAGAGGGUGCGAGCGUUAAUCGGAAUUACUGGGCGUAAAGCGCACGUAGGUGGCGACGUAAGUCGGGUGUGAAAGCCCCGGGCUCAACCUGGGAAUUGCAUUCGAGACUGUGUCGCUGGAGUACGGAAGAGGAAGGCGGAAUUCCCGGUGUAGCGGUGAAAUGCGUAGAUAUCGGGAGGAACAUCAGUGGCGAAGGCGGCCUUCUGGUCCAGUACUGACACUGAGGCACGAAAGCGUGGGGAGCAAACAGG
rnacentral:rRNA from 1 species